rnacentral:rRNA from 1 species
GAUGAACGCUAGCGGCAGGCUUAAUACAUGCAAGUCGUGGGGCAGCAUGGUGUAGCAAUACACUGAUGGCGACCGGCAAACGGGUGCGGAACACGUACGCAACCUUCCCAAAACUGGUGAAUAGCCCUCCGAAAGAAGGAUUAAUACACCGUAACAUAAUGAAAUGGCAUCAUUUUAUUAUUAUAGCUCCGGCGGUUUUG